rnacentral:lncRNA from 1 species
GAGGCGGGCGCCGGCUCCCUCACCGCCACCGCCGCUUCCGUCUCGGCACCUGGAGGCGGCGGGGCGCAGGAAGUUUACCCAGGAAAAGAAAUGGAUGCAAAACUUCACGAGGGACUGCCUGCCCCCCUUCUAUCUUGUGCUGUGCAAAAUGCAGAGGAAGAAGAAAACGUAUCAGCAAGAGAGGAAAAGUUUGUGGCUGGAUCCCGUUCUCACCAAAGCCC